UGCGUAGGUGGGUCUGAAAGUCAGUGGUGAAAUCUCCGGGCUUAACCUGGAAACUGCCAUUGAUACUUCAGGUCUUGAAUUUUCUGGAGGUUAGCGGAAUAUGUCAUGUAGCGGUGAAAUGCUUAGAUAUGACAUAGAACACCAAUUGCGAAGGCAGCUAACUACGGGGAUAUUGACACUGAGGCACGAAAGCGUGGGGAUCAAACAGGAUUAGAUACCCUGGUAGUCCACGCCCUAAACUAUGGAUACUCGACAUUCGCGAUACACAGUGAGUGUCUGAGCGAAAGCAUUAAGUAUCCCACCUGGGAAGUACGAUCGCAAGAUUGAA
rnacentral:rRNA from 1 species